rnacentral:rRNA from 1 species
AUUGAACGCUGGCGGCAUGCUUUACACAUGCAAGUCGAACGGCAGCGCGGGCUUCGGCCUGGCGGCGAGUGGCGAACGGGUGAGUAAUGCAUCGGAACGUGCCCAGUAGUGGGGGAUAGCCCGGCGAAAGCCGGAUUAAUACUGCAUACGACCUGAGGGUGCAAGCGGGGGACCGAAAGGCCUCGCGCUCUGGGAGCGGCCGAUGUGGGGUUAGCUAGUUGGUGGGGUAAAGGGUUACCUAGGAGACGAUCCGUAGCUGGUCUGACAGGACGACCAGCCACACUGGGACUGAGACACGGCCCAGAGUCCUACGGGAGGCAGCAGUGGGGAAUGUUGGACAAUGGGGGCAAACCUGAUCCAGCCAUGCCGCGUGCGAGAAGAAGGCCUUCGGGUUGUAAAGCGCUUUUGUUCGGGAAGAAAUCCUCUGGGCUAAUACCCCGGGGGGAUGACGGUACCGGAAGAAUAAGCACCGGCUAACUACGUG